rnacentral:rRNA from 1 species
AAUGGCCGCGGUAACUUGACCGUGCAAAGGUAGCAUAAUUAUUAGUCUUUUAAUUGAAGGCUUGUAUGAACGAUUGGAUGAAAAAUAAACUUUAUUAAUUUAAAUUAUUUAAUUUAAUAUUUAAGUAAAAAUUCUUAAAUAAAUAGGUGGGACGAGAAGACCCUAUAGAGUUUGAUUUUUGAAUAUAUUAAGGAAUUUAAGAAAUAAUAUUUUCUUGAAAUAUUUAAAAAUUUUGUUGGGGUGAUAUUAAAAAUUAAUAAACUUUUAAUUGAUAUUUCAUUAAUUUAUGUUUUACUGAUCCAAAAAUUUUGAUUAAAAGAUAAAAUUACCUUAGGGAUAACAGCGUUAUUAAUUUGGAGAGUUCACAUCAAUAAAUUAGUUUGCGACCUCGAUGUUGGAUUAAGAAAAAAUUUUGAAGCAGCAUUUAAAACUGAAGGUCUGUUCGACCUUUAAAUUCUUACG